GACGAACGCUGGCGGCACGCUUAACACAUGCAAGUCGAACGAGAGAAGAGAAGCUUGCUUUUCUGAUCUAGUGGCGGACGGGUGAGUAACACGUGAGCAAUCUGCCUUUCAGAGGGGGAUACCGAUUGGAAACGAUCGUUAAUACCGCAUAACAUAAUUGAACCGCAUGAUUUGAUUAUCAAAGAUUUAUCGCUGAAAGAUGAGCUCGCGUCUGAUUAGCUAGUUGGUAAGGUAACGGCUUACCAAGGCGACGAUCAGUAGCCGGACUGAGAGGUUGAUCGGCCACAUUGGGACUGAGACACGGCCCAGACUCCUACGGGAGGCAGCAGUGGGGAAUAUUGCACAAUGGAGGAAACUCUGAUGCAGCGAUGCCGCGUGAGGGAAGAAGGUUUUAGGAUUGUAAACCUCUGUCUUCAGGGACGAAAAAAGACGGUACCUGAGGUGGAAGCGCCGGCUAACUACGUG
rnacentral:rRNA from 1 species